CAGCAGCCGCGGGAAUACCGAGGGUGCAAGCGUUAAUCGGAAUUACUGGGCGUAAAGCGCGCGUAGGUGGUUUGUUAAGUUGGAUGUGAAAUCCCCGGGCUCAACCUGGGAACUGCAUCCAAAACUGGCAAGCUAGAGUAUGGUAGAGGGUGGUGGAAUUUCCUGUGUAGCGGUGAAAUGCGUAGAUAUAGGAAGGAACACCAGUGGCGAAGGCGACCACCUGGACUGAUACUGACACUGAGGUGCGAAAGCGUGGGGAGCAAACAGGAUUAGAUACCCCCGUAGUCCCUGUCUCUUAUAC
rnacentral:rRNA from 1 species